rnacentral:rRNA from 1 species
UACGUAGGGGGCAAGCGUUGUCCGGAAUCAUUGGGCGUAAAGAGCGCGUAGGCGGCCCAGUAAGUCCGCUCUGAAAGUCAGGGGCUCAACCCCUGAAUGCGGGUGGAUACUGCUGGGCUAGAGUCCGGAAGAGGCGAGUGGAAUUCCUGGUGUAGCGGUGAAAUGCGCAGAUAUCAGGAGGAACACCGAUGGCGAAGGCAGCUCGCUGGGACGGUACUGACGCUGAGGCGCGAAGCGUGGGGAGCAAACAGG